rnacentral:rRNA from 1 species
UACGUAGGUGACCAGCGUUGUCCGGAUUUACUGGGCGUAAAGAGCGCGCAGGCGGUCGUUCAAGUCGAGUGUGAAGGCCCCCGGCUCAACUGGGGAGGGUCACUCGAUACUGAUCGACUUGAAGGCAGGAGAGGGAAGCGGAAUUCCCGGUGUAGUGGUGAAAUGCGUAGAUAUCGGGAGGAACACCAGUGGCGAAGGCGGCUUCCUGGCCUGUUCUUGACGCUGAGGCGGCGAAAGCUGAGG